GCUUUAGUGUUGAUGAAAUGUAGUGAGCAAACGGCCAAUGUUCGCUAAGCACUCUGUUUAUUGUCCCUUCAGCUCUCACUUCUAUCUACUGUCAUUUCUCCUCACUUUUGGAAUUCUGAAGUUGGCUAAAUGUCUCACAUGCUCAUCCCGAUAUCCAUAAUUAUUUGCAGCUCAAAAAUGGACAUAUUCGGCGGGUUUUAACGGAUCCGCUACGUUCGGGUUCAGAUUCAGAUUCAGUUUCAACUUUAAUUGUCGUUGUCUGUGUACAGUAAACAGAGACAACGAAAUUCGGUUAGCAUCUCCCUGGAACAUGGAGUCGGAAACGAUGUAUCCUCUAGGAUAGCAGCUACAUUUCUGCCUGGUGGAAGAACGACACAUUCUCGAUUCAAGAUACCCAUCCAAGUGGCCGAGGAUACAUUGUGCAACAUCGAGAAGAACUCUAAGACGGCACAUUUCACGAGGCAAUAGUCAUCAAGAGGCAGUGAGCAGCAGAACACAACAAGACACAACAAGAAAUAGUCAGCAAGAGGCAGUGAACAGCAGAACACAACAAGAUGCAACAAGACACAACAAGUAAAAACUUAAUAAAUCUCAUAUUUAAAAUUUAAAUUGGUCUUAUAUUUUAAGUAAUUCACAUUUUAAACUUUAAUAAAGCCUUUUUGCACUUUUAA